rnacentral:rRNA from 1 species
CCUACGGGACGCAGCAGUCGGGAAUAUUGCGCAAUGGAGGAAACUCUGACGCAGUGACGCCGCGUGCAGGAAGAAGGUUUUCGGAUUGUAAACUGCUUUAGACAGGGAAGAAACAAGACAGUACCUGUAGAAUAAGCUCCGGCUAACUACGUGCCAGCAGCCGCGGUAAUACGUAGGGGGCAAGCGUUAUCCGGAUUUACUGGGUGUAAAGGGAGCGUAGACGGCAGCGCAAGUCUGGAGUGAAAUGCCGGGGCCCAACCCCGGCACUGCUUUGGAAACUGUGCGGCUCGAGUGCGGGAGAGGUG